GUUGGUGUGGUGCAAUCGGUAGACACGCUUGUCUUAGAAGCAAGUAGUUGAGAGUUCGAGUCUCUCCACCAACA
rnacentral:tRNA from 1 species